rnacentral:snoRNA from 1 species
UUUCCUCAGCCUUACUCCAGGGUGUGUCUGAUCCAUGAAAUGCCCUGGCAUUGCCUGAGGAUACAUUAAAACCUUGCUCAAUUCCCUCCCCAACGGGAUUCUGAGUUUCCUUUGGGGUCUACAGGUUGAGCAAACACG